ensembl:lncRNA
AUGAUAAACAGAUAUAAGUGAGGGAACAACAACUUGUAGUAUUGUGAAUGAUGGUAGUAGUAGUACUUAUACAUCCCAAUCGAGUCUUAAUAGUAACAUUAACAUUAGUAUGGAUAGCAAUAUCAAGAGUAAUGACAAUAGAUGUAGUGAUAACAUCGGCACGAAUAACGAUAAAGAGUUAAAAAAAUAAAAGUUGUGUUGAUGAUGGUGUUUGUCACGAUAGUAACAUUUUACAACAGAAUAAUGCAUUACAGUAUAAAGAAGAUAAAUCGAAUGAGUGUUUAAAUUAUGGUAAUAAUAAUACUUGUAUAAUUAAAAAAAAUAAUAAUAACAAUAAUAAUAAUAACAAUAAUAAUAAUAAUAAUAAUAAUAAUAACAAUAAUAAUAAUAAUAACAAUAAUAAUAAUAAUAAUACAUUUGGUCUUAAUGAUAACAACGGUGGUUGUAUUGAUGAAAAAAAAAGGUAGUUCUGAAAAAAUAUCUGUCGAUUUUUGUGACUUGUCAAACGUAUCUGUAAAAAUCCUCGAUAACAGUAAUAAUAAUAUUAUUAACAAAGAAUGUAAAAAUGGUGAUAAUAAAAGUUUAAACACAAAAGGUAUUGAUAGAGAUCAAAAUAUUAGUACUAUUAGUUGCAGUGACAGUAAUGAAAAUGAUGGAAUACUAAUAAUGAAAGUAGUAAUAGUAACAAUAAUAACAAUAGUGGUAGUGGUAAUGGUAAUAAUAAUAGUGGUAAUAAUAGUAAUAGUAGUAAUAGUAGUAAUAACAACAGUGGUAAUGGUAAUACAGAUGGAAAUAAUAGCAGUAAUGAUGGUAGUAACAACAACAACAACAAUAACAACAACAACAAUAACAACAACAACAACAACAAUAAUAACAAUAAUAACAAUAAUAACGACAAUGAUGAUGAAGAAAACGAAAAAAAAUAAAAAUAAAGAUAAAGAUAAAAAUAUGAAAAAUAAUAACAAAGAUAAUGAGAAAAAUGUGAACAACAAUGAUAACAAUUAUAAUGAUAAAAAUGAAACAAAAAAAAAAGAGAAUGAAAUGAAAGUAGAGGGUAGUAAUAAUAAAGGUAAUAACAAUAGUAAUAACAACAAUUCUGAAGGUAAGAUUUCAAGAAAUGUUAACCAAUCUAAGUUUAGUAAAGGAACAAAUUCAGGUGCAUCAGCAUUCAAAGAACUUAAUGUUAAUGUGUUAUUAUUAUUAUUAGUAGUAGUAGUAUUAGUAUUAUCAUUAUUAUUACUAUUACUCAAUUUUGUUCCUUCAACAAAUAGUAUAACAGGUAAUUUACCAUAUGCACCUAUGUUAUGGAAUAAUUAUUAUCCUGAUUUGCCUAAUAAUUCUUAUGUAAAUAUAGCUACUAAUAAAUUAAUCAAUAAUCAUAUAAAUCCACCCCUUUAUAAUAAUAUUAUAUUAAGUCCUAACCCAUUAAUGAAUCCUAUGAAUGGUAUCCCAAACAAUGUUGGAAUUGUAGGAGGUGGAGGAGGUAAUAAACUAAUGAAUAUUGUUGGUACAAACAAUGUAUUAAAUCCUAACAAUUUGAAUUUGAAUAUGCCUACUGCUGGUUUAGGUCCAGGAUUAGCAGCAGCAGGUUUAGUACCAGGUUUAGUACCAGGUUUAGCACCUGGUUUGGGACCUGGUUUAGCUCCAGGUAUAGCUCCAGGCAUAACUUUAGGUAUAAAUCCUACACUUAAUAAUAACAAUAAUAGUACAAAUACUACUACUGCUACUGGUAAUAAUAAUAGUACUACUACUACUACUACUACUACCGCUAAUAAUAAUAAUACUAGUGGUACAGUAAUAAAUACACAAAAUAAUACAAAUAAUGUUGAUAAUUAUAUGGAGAAAAAUAAUACAACAAAUAAUGUUAAUACUAGUAGUAAUAAUAAUAACAAUAAUGUAAAUACCAACAAUAAUGUAAAUAAUUCUAAUAGUAAUAAUAAUGUUAGUGGUACAAAUCAAAUAAAUAAUAGUAGCAAUACAAAUAAACAAUUGAAUAGUGGAUUUAUAGAUUCUAGUUUAGGUAGUUCUCAAAAUAUACAUUUAACAACUAUUGGAGGAGGAAUAGGUAAGAAUACAGGAGUUGCAGAUGGUAAUUUUAUAAAUCAAAAUAUAAUACCUGGUAAUAUGAAAAAUAUAAGAGGAGGAGGAGGAGGUACAAACAAUUUUAUGAAUUCGGAGAAAAUCCACCAACAUUCCCUCAUCAUCCUCAACAUCAGCAUCCACAUCCACAUCAUGCGAUGGUCGAUGCACAUCCAAAUUUUCAAGCAAACAAUCCAGCUGCUAUGAUGCAUCAUCCAGGUUUUUUACAUUAAUCCAUCUUAUAUUAUGAAUAAUUAUCAUGGUCCUGGUUUAACUGCACCUCCUACAAUAUUUUCUCCUAUGCAUUAUGGUAAUACAUCUAUGGGUGAUGGUCCAGGUGGAAUCCAUCAUCAUGAUUUACCCUUCCCACAAGGUCCAGCAAUAUAUGGUGCGUUUGACAAUGUACCUAAUAAUGUUAUAACAAAUAAUAGUUUAACUUCGUCAAAACAUACCGGUUUAGGUAUUAAUCCGUAUAAUUAUUUAUCUUGUGGAGGAAUACAGACUCCACCACCUCAAUUACAUCAUCCACAUCCUAAUGGGCAUUUAAAUUUGAAUCACAAUAUGGAUAGUCAUUGUAUACCAACACCAGGUAAUGUCAUUCCUGGUGGUAGUGGUGGUGGUGGUGUUGGUGGUGUUGGUGGUGU